rnacentral:misc_RNA from 1 species
AACUUUUGGCAAUGGAUCUCUUGGUUCUAGCAUCGAUGAAGAACGCAGCGAAAUGCGAUAAGUAAUGCGAAUUGCAGAAUUCCAGUGAGUCAUCGAAUCUUUGAACGCACAUUGCGCCCUUUGGUAUUCCGAAGGGCAUGCCUGUUCGAGCGUCAUUAUCACCCUUCAAGCCCUCGGCUUGGUGUUGGACGGUUUGGUUUUGGUGACAAGACCCUUCCUAAAAUCAAUGACGGCGGCCUGUGUGACCCCCGGUACACUGAGCUUCUUAACUGAGCACGUAUCGGUCUCAGGGUAGACAGGACCCGGUCUUCUUCCUUGACCGGAAAAUUUUUCCAAAGGUUGACCUCGGAUCAGGUAGGGAUACCCGCUGAACUUAAGCAUAUCAAUAAGCGGAGGCU